AUUACAAGCGUGAGCCACUGCGCCUGGCAAAGACCUCUUCUUCAUGGACCUUUGAUCCAAGGAAAAAGAAAGGCCAUAAACAAAACAGAAAUCAAGAAGAUGGAAAAGGAGCUGAACGGGGGAAAGCUGAGGUUUGCACAGAGCCAGUCCAGGGAGUGUGGUUCCGGAACGGGUGGAGCUUCUGGUGUAGUGGAUGUGGACUUUCUGGCCUGGAUCUCCUCUCUCCUCC